CCUACGGGGGGCAGCAGUGAUUAAUAUUUUUCCCUUUCCUUCCUUCUUCCCCCUCCCUUCCUCUUUCCUGAAGCCUGCUCUCUUCUUUUUAAACUGCUUUUGUACAAGGGUAAACCUGAAUACGUGUAUUCAGCUGAAAGUACUGUACGAAUAAGGAUCGGCUAACUCCGUGCCAGCAGCCGCGGUAAUACGGAGGAUCCAAGCGUUAUCCGGAUUUAUUGGGUUUAAAGGGUGCGUAGGCGGAUUGAUAAGUUAGAGGUGAAAUGUCCGAGCUUAACUCGGGAACUGCCUCUAAUACUGUUGAUCUAGAGAGUAGAUGCGGUAGGCGGAAUGUAUGGUGUAGCGGUGAAAUGCUUAGAGAUCAUACAGAACACCGAUUGCGAAGGCAGCUUACCAAUCUAUAUCUGACGUUGAGGCACGAAAGCGUGGGGAGCAAACAGGAUUAGAUACCCGAGUAGUC
rnacentral:rRNA from 1 species